AUACGUAGGUCCCAAGCGUUGCGCGAUCUCACUGGGCGUAAAGCGUCCCCAGCCGGUCCGGUAAGCGGAUUGUCAAAACCCGCGGCUCAACCGCGGUAGGGCAACCCGAACUGCCGGACUUGAGGCAAGCCCAGGCAGGCGGAAUUCCCGGUGUAGCGGUGAAAUGCGUAGAUAUCCGGAGGAACACCAAAGGGGAAGCCAGCCUGCUGGGGCUGCCCUGACGGUCACGGACGAAAGCCGGGGGAGCAAACCGGAUUAGAAACCCUAGUAGUCC
rnacentral:rRNA from 1 species